rnacentral:rRNA from 1 species
AACGAACGCUGGCGGCAUGCCUAACAUAUGCAAGUCGAACGAGACCUUCGUGUCUAGUGGCGCACGGGUGCUUAACGCGUGGUAACCUACCCUUAGGUUCGCAAUAACUCCCCUUAAGGGGUCCUAAUACCGGAUAAUGUCUUCCGAGCAAAGAUUUAUCGCUUUUGGAUGGGCGCGCGUUGGUUUAGCUAGUUGGUAGUGUAAAAGCCUAGCAAGGCUACGAUCCAUAGCUGGUCUGAGAGGAUGAUCAGCCACACUGGGACUGAGACACGGACCAGAAUCCUAGGGAAGGGGGCAGUGGGGAAUAUUGGACAAUGGGCGAAGGCCUGAUCAAGCAAUGCCGCGUGAGUGAUGAAGGCCUUAGGGUUGUAAAGCUCUUUUACACGGGAUGAUAAUGACAGUACCGGGAGAAUAAGCUCCGGCUAACUACGUG